CCUUGUACACACCGCCCGUCACGCCAUGGAAGCUGGGGGGGACCUGAAGCCGGUGGGCUAACCCGCAAGGGGGGCAGCCGUCAAAGGUCAAUUCAGUGACUGGGGCG
rnacentral:rRNA from 1 species